ensembl:rRNA 5S_rRNA 5S ribosomal RNA
GUCUAUGGCCAUACCAUUCUGAACCUGCCAGAUCUUGGAAGCUAAGCAGGAUUGGGUCUGGUUAGUACUUAGAUGGGAGAACAACAAAGAAUUGGUGAACAGCAGCUC